GAUGGACACAUGAGGGGAAAAAACCAUAACACCCGAGGCCAACCCCUCUCUAGGCCUUAGGUGCUGAAGUUUCCCUGCAAACUAGGACAGUUUCUUCUGAGAUGCCCCCUCUUUCCACAAUAAAGGCACAAGCCCUCCCUUCUGCGAUAUGUUCUUUCAGCUUCAGUUAAGCCUACAGCACCUAAUUGCAUGGGUUCGGGAG